rnacentral:tRNA from 1 species
AAAGAUUUAAGUUAACUAAACUAAGAGCCUUCAAAGUUCUAAAUGGAAGCCAAAUACUACCAAUCUUUG